rnacentral:tRNA from 1 species
AUUUGAGUAGUUUAAUUUAGAAUAAUAAUUUGUGGUGUUAUAGGUGAAUUUUUCCUCAAGUC